UUGUUACUGAAGAAUUGUGGCAGGUAAUUGUUUCCUACUAUUUACAUAUUGCAAGUCCUAUUGAUUGUGGCCUAAUCUUUUUAUCAAAGUUUUCUUGGAGCAUUUCUGCUCAUACAUUUCCUAUUGCAAUAAGAUUGUACUCAUCUUUUGGUUGCCCCAGCCCACCUUGCCAUGGCUCUCUCUCUUUCUCUCUCUUGCCCUCUAUGCUUUCUUAGCAUAGUCAUAUUAUAGAUUUAGAUUUUAG
rnacentral:misc_RNA from 1 species